rnacentral:lncRNA from 1 species
CCAAGAACAAGUUUGGAAACUAGCAAUUAAGUAGCAACAGUUAAUGGCGAUUUAUACACAGUUCUAAAUAUUGAGAUAUAAAAACCAUAUUAAUGGACCAAAAGGUUGCAUUUAAUUCCAUACUUGAAGCAAUAACAUUAUCUUGAACUAAAUUAACUGAAUAGUGCACUCAUAAAUCAAAAAUACUACUCAAUGGAAGAAGUUUCACUUAGUUACAAAUUAAUUGAUACAAGAAAAAACUACUGAAAUCAGAAACCAGGCUAUAGCAUUGUAAUUAAUUAAUCCGCAUGUCAUUACAAACGAUUUCCACAACCCAGCAGCUUCUACAAUAACGUAGGGGAGAGCUGAUUGCCUCAAAUGGCUUCAGUGAUGUUUAAAAUCUGUCAUUCAAGACCUUCAACACAAGCAGAUGUAGAUGAAAUUCGAACCACCAUCAUAGACUCAUAAAGAAAAACACCAAAUAAACUUUCCAAAUUAUUCAAAUCCAUCAAUAGCAACUCAAACCUUAACAAACAAAGAUCAAACAAAAACAGAAUUGAUUUUCCAUGACUAUUUUUACUACUUAGGUUUCUAGCAUGUAUAUGAAUUUAUCACACCAGUUACUUCAACCUAAACUCAAAUUUACAGUCACAUGAAGGAACAUCCAGCAGAUACGUAAACCAAUAAACCAUGAAUAUUUUAUAACAAAACAAAAUUCCAGCGUCAAUUACAUGGCUUGAAGUCAGAAUAGGUACCUUAAAAUGCAGUAAUAGAACUUAGAGUGGCCAAAUAAAAGCUAAAACUAGAGAAGAAACUCGGUAAAACUCAGGAGGCAACAUCAAAUAAGCAGAAAACGGCAAGAACAAACCCCAGAAUGAACCUCGACUUCAAUUCAGAUUAACGUGUGUUUUUGAAGGACAGAUGCAGAGAUUCAAAGCUGCUCAAAUGAGUGUGUGAGUGAGCCUUAUAUAGAGUGUGAGUGUGCAAAAGGAUAGGGAAUGAGGGAGAGUCUAAGAGGGAACAUAUCAGCUCCUAAAUUUUAGGGAAAUGACAUCUUUUUCAACUGAAUUAGACAGGUGUCCUCUUAUUCUCAAAUAUUUUCCCAUUUUCCAGUAUCUUUUUCCAACAAGAUUGGACAGCUGUCCCCCUUUUUUAAUAAAUCCCCCUUUGUUUCAACCCUUUAAACUUUGUAUUUUUACCCCUUUCACCUCAAAAUCUGACCUAAUAUCAAUUUUUUUAUUACAUUUUGGCCCCUUCUAGAGGCUUCCUAUCAAAUAACAAAAGAUUCCCUAAUUUUGCUUUCCCAAUUAACCCCCUUAAGUUUCUGGUAAUUACAAAAUAGCCAUACCAAAGAGAUUAUAUGGAUCAAUCACAAGAAACAAUAAUACACAAUCAAACUUGUUUCAACAUCUAAUUAACUCAACAAUUAAGACUAAUUAACAUGCAAUUAAAUUGCUAAAUCAUGCAACCAAUGAAAACAAAUCCAAACAUGUGAAUACUCAAAACAAAUGUACUAAGCUAUGUUAAUCCACUAUUAAUUAACUAAUUUAUGAGCUAAAGCUAAUCUAAUUAGGCUAAUUUGCACUCAACAAACAAAUUCAAUUAAACGCCUAAACAGACUGUUCCUCUUUUCUUUUUUUCUUUUUUUAAUUCUUCUUAAAACAAAUAAAACAAAAAUAAGAUAGAAUAGGGUGAGGAUGUACCUAAUGCAAAUAAAGACGGUUCAAUUGAAGCGAUUUCAACGAGAUUCCGCCAGACUCCGGUGUCUUCGAAACGAGCCGAAAUUAACAUCAUUCAACUGUUCAGAACAAUCAAACAAUGCAAAUUUCGGACCGAAUCAAGUCUUGGAAACCUUGAAAAAUCAAACAACGAGGACUAGGGUUUCUAGGGGGUUUUAGAUCUGAAAUUCGUGGAAAUCUAAUGGUUUUUUGAAGAAACAAAAGGGUGAUAUAGGAUAAGGAGGAGAUGGAAUUUAUGGGGUGAAGAUUUUAUGGUGCUUGGGGUGGUUGCCACCGGUCACAGGUGUGCUUGGGG